CCCCUGAAAAUCUCGGUGGAACCCGAGACGGCGGCGGCGCCCAUGGCGACCCGACCCGGCGACCGGCGUUCUGGGCGGCACGGCGGCUGCGCUCCCAAGAGCAGCGCGCGUCAGGGCAAGCCCCGCGCGCUCCUCCGUCGAGCGUCGCCGCCGGCGACGCCUGUUCCUUCGGGCGGAUGAGGGGCGGGGAUGCCGGCCGGCCACAGCGCGUUCCCACGCACCGGAGCGGCGUGGUGGCGGCAGCGGCGCCCUCUCACGCUAAGUUGCCGUGCGGCUCCUCCCCGAGGGAAGGAUAGGCGACGCCGUGGCCUUUUUUUUAUGGCGGCAGCCGGCGGCGGCUACUUCGUUUGGAGUCGACGGCGGCGAGACGAGAUGCCGCCAUCCUUCAGGGAAAUUUUUCUGAUGCAGCAAAGGAGUCCUUCAAAUUCCUACAAAAGGUCAGAUUUACUUAUUGUGUACAUAUUAAUCAGUUUAUUAAUCAUAAGAUGUUUUCCAAUAUUCAUCAUUUGCAGUUCGCACCUACAUCAUCUGUCAUUCUACCGUACUAUAUAUAAUUUUUGUAACAGGUUCACAUGUCUUUACUAUGUACAUGUUUAAUUGUCAUCUUUUCAAUGAGAAAGCAAGGUUAUUCAGUGCGUCUCUUCAUGCCCAUCUUGAAGAUCACGGUUUCUUCAUUAUUUUGCUUUCUGCAGAUUUUUGGGUCAAUUAUCAUUGAUUCUGUUUAUUAUCCUCUCACAUUAACAUUCUCUUAAGAGAUUCAGUUUACAUCUUGAUAGUAUGAUAUGACAUUUGUAUUUUACUGGCUAUAUAUAUAACAUAUAUUCCCUAUA